rnacentral:rRNA from 1 species
GGUAGUUUGACUGGGGCGGUCUCCUCCCAAAGCGUAACGGAGGAGCACGAAGGUUAGCUAAUCCUGGUCGGACAUCAGGAGGUUAGUGCAAUGGCAUAAGCUAGCUUGACUGCGAGCGUGACGGCGCGAGCAGGUGCGAAAGCAGGUCAUAGUGAUCCGGUGGUUCUGAAUGGAAGGGCCAUCGCUCAACGGAUAAAAGGUACUCCGGGGAUAACAGGCUGAUACCGCCCAAGAGUUCAUAUCGACGGCGGUGUUUGGCACCUCGAUGUCGGCUCAUCACAUCCUGGGGCUGAAGUAGGUCCCAAGGGUAUGGCUGUUCGCCAUUUAAAGUGGUACGCGAGCUGGGUUUAGAACGUCGUGAGACAGUUCGGUCCCUAUCUGCCGUGGGCGCUGGAGAAUUGAGGGGGGCUGCUCCUAGUACGAGAGGACCGGAGUGGACGCAUCACUGGUGUUCGGGUUGUCAUGCCAAUGGCACUGCCCGGUAGCUAAAUGCGGAAGAGAUAAGUGCUGAAAGCAUCUAAGCACGAAACUUGCCCCGAGAUGAGUUCUCCCUGAGACUU